UACGAGUGGUGCAAGCGUUAUUCGGAAUCAUUGGGCGUAAAGGGUGUGUAGGCGGCAUAUCAAGUCUGUUGUUAAAUCUCCCAGCCUAACUGGGAAAAUGCAGUGGAUACUGAUGUGAUAGAGGAUGGAAGAGAGAAGUGGAAUUCUCGGAGUAGCGGUAAAAUGCGUAGAUCUCGAGAGGAACACCGAUGGCGAAGGCAGCUUCUGGUCCAUUCCUGACGCUGAUACACGAAAGCGUGGGGAGCAAACAGGAUUAGAAACCCUGAGAGUACCUAGUCCACCAACCGAGUCCUGUGUCACCG
rnacentral:rRNA from 1 species